GGUUCGAUCAUGGCUCAGAUUGAACGCUGGCGGAUGCUUACACACGUGUUUGAACGGCAGCACGGACUUCGGUCUGGUGGCGAGUGGCGAACGGGUGAGUGAAGGUAUCGGAAUGUACCAUGGGGAUAACUACGCGAAAGGUAGCCACUACCGUAUACGCCCUUCGGGGGAAAGCGGGGAUCUUCGGGCCUCGCACUAUUAGAGCGGCCGAUAUCGGAUUAGCUAGUUGGUGGCAACGGCUCACCAAGGCGACGAUCCGUAGCUGGUUUGAGAGGACGAUCAGCCAGCCACUGGGACCGAGACACGGCCCAGACUCCCAUGGAGGCAGCAGUGGGGAAUUCUGGACAAUGGGGGAAACCCCGAUCCAGCCAUCCCGCGUGUGCGAUGAAGGCCUUCGGGUUGUAAAGCACUUUUGCAGGAGAAACGGCACGGAUAAUACCCUGUGCAACUGACGGUACCUGCAGAAUAAGCACCGGCUAACCGAUGUGCCAGCAGCCGCGGUAAUACGUAGGGUGCAAGCGUUAAUCGGAAUUGAUGGCGUAAAGCGUGCAGGCGGUUCGGAAAGAAAGAUGUGAAAUCCCAGAGCUUAACUUGAACUGCAUUUUUAACUACCGAGCUAGAGGCCGGAGGGAGGUGGAAUUCCGCGUGUAGCAGUGAAAUGCGUAGAUAUGGAGGAACACCGAUGGCGAAGGCAGCCUCCCGGGAUAAUACUGACGCUCAUGCACGAAAGCAUGGGAGCAAACAGGAUUAGAUACUCCUGGUAGUCCACGCCCUAAACGAUGUCAACUAGCUGUUGGGGCCUUCUGGCCUGGUAGCGCAGCUAACGCGUGAAGUUGACCGCCUGGGGAGUACGGUCGCAAGAUUAAAACUCAGCGAAUGAUUGGGACUCGCACAAGCGGUGGAUGAUGUGGAUUAAUUCGAUGCAACGCGAAAACCUUACCUACCCUUGACAUGUCUGGAAUCCCGAAGAGAUUUGGGAGUGCUUUGCAAGAGAACCGGAACACAGGGUGUUGCAUGGCUGUCGUCAGCUCGUGUCGUGAGAUGUUGGGUUAAGUCCUGCAACGAGCGCAACCCUUGUCAUUAGUUACGAAAGGGCACUCUAAUGAGAUCGCCGGUGACAAACCGGAGGAAGGUGGGGAUGAUGUCAAGUCCCCAUAGCCUUGAAGGGUGGGCUUCACACGUCAUACAAUGGUCGGGACAGAGGGUCGCCAACCUGCGAGGGGAUUUUUAACCAGAAACCCGAUCGUAGUCCGACCGCAGUUCGCAACUCGACUGCGUGAAGUCGGAAUCGCUAGUAAUCGCGGAUCAGCAUGUCGCGGUGAAUACGUUCCCGGGUCUUGUACACACCGCCCGUCACACUGAGUGGCCGAAUGGUAAGUAGUUAGCCUAACCGUAAGGAGGGCGAUUACCACAUAGGAUUCAUGGCUGAAAGUAGUCGUAACAGCGUAG
rnacentral:rRNA from 1 species